CUGCGAAUGGCUCAUUAUAUAAGUUAUCGUUUAUUUGAUAGCACUCUUCUACUCGGAUAACUGUGGUAAUUCUAGAGCUAAUACGUGCUGAAAAUCCCAACUUCGGAAGGGCUGUAUUUAUUAGAUUAAAAACCAACGCCCCUCGGGGCUUCUUGGUGAUUCAUGAUAACUUCUCGAAUCGCAUGGCCUUGCGCCGGCGAUGGUUCAUUCAAAUUUCUUCCCUAUCAACUUUCGAUGCGAGGGUAUUGUCCUCGCAUGGUUACAACGGGUAACGGAGGGUUAGGGCUCGACCCCGGAGAAGGAGCCUGAGAAACGGCUACUACAUCCAAGGAAGGCAGCAGGCGCGCAAAUUACCCAAUCCCGACACGGGGAGGUAGUGACAAUAAAUACUGAUACAGGGCUCUUUUGGGUCUUGUAAUCGGAAUGAGUACAAUUUAAAUCCCUUAACGAGGAACAAUUGGAGGGCAAGUCUGGUGCCAGCAGCCGCGGUAAUUCCAGCUCCAAUAGCGUAUAUUAAAGUUGUUGUGGUUAAAAAGCUCGUAGUUGAACCUUGGGCCUGGCUACAAGGACCGCCUCACCGCGAGAUCUUUUCGUAGCCGGGUCUUUCCCGCUGUGGAACCCCAUGGCCUUCACUGGUCGUGGCGGGGAAACAGGACUUUUACUUUGAAAAAAUUAGAGUGCUCCAGGCAGGCCUAUGCUCGAAUACAUUAGCAUGGAAUAAUAAAAUAGGACGCGUGGUUCUAUUUUGUUGGUUUCUAGGACCGCCGUAAUGAUUAAUAGGGACAGUCGGGGGCAUCAGUAUUCAAUUGUCAGAGGUGAAAUUCUUGGAUCUAUUGAAGACUAACUACUGCGAAAGCAUUUGCCAAGGAUGUUUUCAUUGAUAAGGAACGAAAGUUAGGGGAUCGAAGACGAUCAGAUACCGUCGUAGUCUUAACUAUAAACUAUGCCGACUAGGGAUCGGACGAUGUUAUAUUUUGACUCGUUCGGCACCUUUCGAGAAAUCAA
rnacentral:rRNA from 1 species